rnacentral:lncRNA from 1 species
GGCAAUGACUCUGACUUCGAGGUGGUGUACCAGCAAUGCCUUAGGUGCUGCAAGGCCUUCCUGGAGAAGACUCACUAGCUGGUCCUAACCACCACCACUGAGCAACCCACUCCUCAGUGCUGUGCCCAAGGGUGGUGGCAGUCCUUAGCCCCAUACCCCACCUCUCUUUUCAGCUGACUUACUGUAUAUCUUUAAAAUAAUUGUAGGUGGAAAUCAGGCAUUUGUUCAGAAGGAUAAAAACAUUUGAGGCAGACAUUUGAGGUGUGGCUCAGUAUUCUUAGACUAACAAAAGCUCUGGCCUCGCCAUAAUUACAAAAUAGUGGAACGAGCAACUGUGGAACAAAAGAAAACCCAAUAAAGUAAGAAUGACCCACAAGGUCCAGAUCAGCCUUUGAGCCCAGCGAGCCUGGGUAGUCUGGUCUAACUGGAGUGUGAGCAUGGCCAGCACCCAGUGUGCUGUUUGCUUGCCUUACACUCUCUAUUCUAUAUUGUCUCUUAUUGUGACAAUAUCUCCAUCCAUGGCAGCCUUCCAUUUAACACUGGGAGAGUUUAAACCCAGACACACCGAGGGUUCAGAUAUUUGAGAGAGGAGAACCUGGAUAUGAUGAUGGGCCUGGAACUCCAGCAGGCCAUCCUGGGCUGUACAGUGACUCCCUGUCUGAAAGAUAAAAAUGCUAACAGAUGGGAGCAACAGGUUGGUGAAGUUAACACC